GUCUACGACCAUACCACCCUGAACACACCCAAUCUUGGCUGAUCUCGGAAGCUAAGAAGGUUCAGGCCUGGUUAGUACUUAGGUAGGAGACCGCCUGGAAACACCAGGUGCUGUUGGCU
rnacentral:rRNA from 1 species